GUUGCGAAGCAGGAAGAAACAAAUAAAUUGAACUUAAUUGGAGCUGCAGGCCACAAGGACACGUGUCACUCAUGUAUUGGCCCUGCACAUUAUAUUGCAGGUGAGCCGAAUCCCGUACUUCCUUUAAACUAUCGGAAUGGACAUUUGUGUGUUGGACGUUUUUAGGAGAAGAUAGGACGGCUGAUUAUUAUUUUGAAGAGAGAUAACGUUAAUUUGUGUUUCUUCUUCUACAUGUACAAGGAUGGGUAAAUUUUUACAUUUUUGACCUGCGGGGAAAGAAAGUUCAUCUCUUGUACGUUAUCUAAUUGCACAAAAAUAAGAGUUGCAUGAUUUUAUUUGAUCUGAGUUGUAAUAGCCUAGGCCAAAUCAAUGGUUCAUAUUUUUCAAUUCAAUAUUAUGGGCCUUUUUGACUGUUUUUUUUACCGAGAAGUUUAUAGAUUGAUCUAGAACGUAAUGUUUAUCCAUGCGACCAGAUAAACGGUUCAUUAUUUCUGAUUAACAUGAGAAUUUCUUGGGAGUCUAUAAUUAGUAUAAGUAAGUAUAUAAGUAUAUAGCUAUAGAAAUAGAAGUAUAGAUAUUGAUAUAGAUAGAUAGAUAGAUAUAGAUAUAGAUAGAUGAUAUGGCCAAAUCUUUUUUUAUUAUAUUUGAGUGGAUGGGGAGUAAAUGUUCUCUAGCGACAACUCUAUAAGAUAACAUCAUGUAUGCUUCUGGAACAAACAGAAACGAGAAUCAGAUAUGGACGGGAAAACUAUUCUUCUUUGCGUUACGGUGCUUGUGCUGCUAGGAAAUUCAGGCCAUGCUCGGAAUUGCCAUACCUAUCGUGCAUUCUGGGAACCUUUUAUUUGUUUUCCUGUUACUUGCCAGGCAACAUGCGAGCAGAAGUGGCGGAAUCUCCUUGAUCACUCAUAUUGUCAUGCUGAUAAUAUUUUGGUAAACUCUUGUAUGUGUGUUGUCUGUGAUAAGUGACUAUAUCGAAUUGCACUCACCAUCAUGUCAAACAAUGGAAAAUGAUGUACAGUAAUAAAAUAUUGUGUUGACAUGCA